rnacentral:tRNA from 1 species
CAAGAAGUAGUUUAAUUAAAAUAUUAAUUUUGGAGAUUAAUGAUAGGAUUUUAUCCUUUUCUUGA